UUUCCGGUUGAUCCUGCCGGACCUGACUGCUAUCGGAUUGAUACUAAGCCAUGCGAGUCUUUGCAGUAAUGCAAGGCAUACGGCUCAGUAACACGUAGUCAACUUACCCUAUGGACGAGGAUAAUCUCGGGAAACUGAGCAUAAUACUCGAUAGAUCAUAAUGCCUGGAAUGGUUUAUGGUUAAAAUGAUUCGUCGCCGUAGGAUGGGACUGCGGCCUAUCAGCUUGUUGGUGAGGUAAUGGCCCACCAAGGCGAUUACAGGUACGGGCUCUGAGAGGAGAAGCCCGGAGAUGGGUACUGAGACAAGGACCCAGGCCCUAUGGGGCGCAGCAGGCGAGAAAACUUUGCAAUGUGCGAAAGCACGACAAGGUUAAUCCGAGUGAUUUCUGCUAAAGAAAUCUUUUGCAAGUCAUAAAACCACUAGUGAAUAAGGGGUGGGCAAGUUCUGGUGUCAGCCGCCGCGGUAAAACCAGCACCUCAAGUGGUCAGGAUGAUUAUUGGGCCUAAAGCAUCCGUAGCCGGCUCUGUAAGUUUUCGGUUAAAUCCAUGUGCUCAACGCAUGGGCUGCCGAAAAUACUGCAUAGCUAGGGAGUGGGAGAGGUAGACGGUACUCGGUAGGAAGGGGUAAAAUCCUUUGAUCUAUCGAUGACCACCUGUGGCGAAGGCGGUCUACCAGAACACGUUCGACGGUGAGGGAUGAAAGCUGGGGGAGCAAACCGGAUUAGAUACCCGGGUAGUCCCAGCUGUAAACGAUGCAGACUCGAUGAUGCA
rnacentral:rRNA from 1 species